rnacentral:rRNA from 1 species
UACGAAGGGGGCUAGCGUCGCUCGGAAUCACUGGGCGUAAAGGGCGCGUAGGCGGACUUUUAAGUCGGGGGUGAAAGCCCAGGGCUCAACCCUGGAAUUGCCUUCGAUACUGGGAGUCUUGAGUUCGGAAGAGGUUGGUGGAACUGCGAGUGUAGAGGUGAAAUUCGUAGAUAUUCGCAAGAACACCGGUGGCGAAGGCGGCCAACUGGUCCGAUACUGACGCUGAGGCGCGAAAGCUAGGGGAGCAAACGGG